rnacentral:rRNA from 1 species
AACGAACGCUGGCGGCAGGCUUAACACAUGCAAGUCGAACGCCCCGCAAGGGGAGUGGCAGACGGGUGAGUAACGCGUGGGAACAUACCCUUUCCUGCGGAAUAGCUCUGGGAAACUGGAAUUAAUACCGCAUACGCCCUACGGGGGAAAGAUUUAUCGGGGAAGGAUUGGCCCGCGUUGGAUUAGCUAGUGGGUGGGGUAAAGGCCUACCAAGGCGACGAUCCAUAGCUGGUCUGAGAGGAUGAUCAGCCACAUUGGGACUGAGACACGGCCCAAACUCCUACGGGAGGCAGCAGUGGGGAAUAUUGGACAAUGGGCGCAAGCCUGAUCCAGCCAUGCCGCGUGAGUGAUGAAGGCCUUAGGGUUGUAAAGCUCUUUCACCGAUGAAGAUAAUGACGGUAGUCGGAGAAGAAGCCCCGGCUAACUUCGUGCCAGCCGCCGCCGUAAUAC